CAUCAGCAAGACUGACUCCAGGUCAGGACCAAGAUAAAGUUCCUGAAAUUGCUCUAUGUGAGGAGCAGCGGUGCCAAUAGGAUGCAUGGGGAAGCCAAGA